rnacentral:rRNA from 1 species
AGAGUUUGAUCCUGGCUCAGGAUGAACGCUGGCGGCGUGCUUAACACAUGCAAGUCGAACGAUGAUCUCCAGCUUGCUGGGGGGAUUAGUGGCGAACGGGUGAGUAACACGUGAGUAACCUGCCCUUAACUCUGGGAUAAGCCUGGGAAACUGGGUCUAAUACCGGAUAUGACUCCUCAUCGCAUGGUGGGGGGUGGAAAGCUUUUUGUGGUUUUGGAUGGACUCGCGGCCUAUCAGCUUGUUGGUGAGGUAAUGGCUUACCAAGGCGAUGACGGGUAGCCGGCCUGAGAGGGUGACCGGCCACACUGGGACUGAGACACGGCCCAGACUCCUACGGGAGGCAGCAGUGGGGAAUAUUGCACAAUGGGCGCAAGCCUGAUGCAGCGACGCCGCGUGAGGGAUGACGGCCUUCGGGUUGUAAACCUCUUUCAGUAGGGAAGAAGCGAAAGUGACGGUACCUGCAGAAGAAGCGCCGGCUAACUACGUGCCAGCAGCCGCGGUAAUACGUAGGGCGCAAGCGUUAUCCGGAAUUAUUGGGCGUAAAGAGCUCGUAGGCGGUUUGUCGCGUCUGCCGUGAAAGUCCGGGGCUCAACUCCGGAUCUGCGGUGGGUACGGGCAGACUAGAGUGAUGUAGGGGAGACUGGAAUUCCUGGUGUAGCGGUGAAAUGCGCAGAUAUCAGGAGGAACACCGAUGGCGAAGGCAGGUCUCUGGGCAUUAACUGACGCUGAGGAGCGAAAGCAUGGGGAGCGAACAGGAUUAGAUACCCUGGUAGUCCAUGCCGUAAACGUUGGGCACUAGGUGUGGGGGACAUUCCACGUUUUCCGCGCCGUAGCUAACGCAUUAAGUGCCCCGCCUGGGGAGUACGGCCGCAAGGCUAAAACUCAAAGGAAUUGACGG